GACGAACGCUGGCGGCGUGCUUAACACAUGCAAGUCGAACGGAAAGGCCUGCUUUCCCUUGUGGAUUGCGGGUACUCGAGUGGCGAACGGGUGAGUAACACGUGAGUGAUCUGCCCCCAACUUGGGUAUAAGCCUGGGAACCUGGGUCUAAUUCCCGAUAGGACUGCAGGGUGGUGCCUGUGGUGGAAAACGUUCUUCUAGUGGUUGGGGAUGCGCUCGCGGCCUAUCAGCUUGUUGGUGGGGUAAUGGCCUACCAAGGCGGCGACGGGUAGCCGGCCUGAGAUGGUGGACGGCCACAUUGAGACUGAGAUACGGCCCAGACUCCUACGGGCGGCAGCAGUGGGGAAUAUAGCGCAAUGAGCGGAAGCCUGAUGCAGCGACGCCGCGUGGGGGAUGACGGCCUUGGGGUUGUAAACUCCUUUCGACCGCGAGGAAGCCACCUGGUUGGAAGGGUGGUGACGGUAGUGGUAGAAGAAGCACCGGCUAACUACGUG
rnacentral:rRNA from 1 species